GAUCCGCCACCUACGGACGUGCCUGGU
rnacentral:sRNA from 1 species